GGAACUUACAGGAAAUGUGGUCUUGAAUAGAAUGCGAGGAACAAGAAAGAAAUCCAUGAAACCUGUGAAAGCAGAUGUUCUUGAUUGAAAAGGAGGGCUACAAAUCGACAAAACUGCCUUUACUGCUGCAUGAUACUGGAAAUUUCUAUGAAUCUUGGGUUUGGGUUGCAAAUUUAGCUGGAGGAUAUAAUGUAAUAUGAAGACUGUAUAGAAAGGAGAGAACCUGUAGCUGAAGACGCAUUCUGGAUGCACCUCUGCUUCUGCACACCUCUUCACUGUGCAGGCAGUAACUGAAGAAGGCAGUGUUACAGGGAUUACCAUCUCUGCCCAGGCCAGGACCAACUCUGACAUUGUCUCUCCCCACUGGAAUGGCGGAGGUUUUCUCUGAGCUGUUCUUCCUACAGUAGCCUCUUUCCUUUCACCUUUACUUUCACAGGCCUUCCACAGCCAUGCUGCUCCUAAAGUUCCUCACCUGUGCUUACUCCCUUGCCUCUCUAGCUUGUGUAAAUUACCACCAAUGCAUCUUUUUUCUUUCAAAUCUUUCUCAUAUUUCUUGUCAUUGUUCCUAAAAUAAAGUUUUAAGAACUUUGAUCUUCAGAACCUAGAAUUAUGACCAAAACAAACAAACAAACAAACAAACAAACACCUUCAAAGACUCUUUAAACACAAUGGAUUAUUAACACAGAAAAAUGUCUUCCAUUAAAAGAAAUCUUGGAACAUAGGUCUUGGAUUAUAUGGUUGUAUGCAGUCAAGAAACUGAUGUGGUGAAUUAACACUUGGGAAAUCUGCUGUUCUAAUGGUAGAACUGCACACUCAUCCAUAAAAAUAUAAAAGAAAACCACACUACAAUAUGUCACAAUCAUCUAUGUGAAAGAAACACAACUGGUGAAGUGUUGGACACAAUAUACAGUCAUGUGAAUAAGCCAUGAGACUCUUACUACAGAAUGUUUGCAUGUUUAGUUUCUUCUGCCCGAACACUCUAUAUUCUCUUUUUUCAUUAUUACUCAUCUUUCUACAUCAGGCCAAAUGUCACCUAUAGACAUUUGCUGUAGGUAUUCAAGCUCUGUCAUCUACUUUUUUUUUAAAAGAUAUCAAAAUUUGUAAUUAAAACAUUGAUUUUAAUUACAUCUUGCUUUCCUACAAAAUCCAUAAAA
rnacentral:lncRNA from 1 species